GUGGCUGGAUCACCUCCUUUCUAAGGAUGAUCAAGAAUUGGAAGCCUUCAUAAAAUGAAUACCUUCCUUUUUGAUCUCAUUAGACAUAAAGGUUUAAACCAAGUCAGUUUAAGCCUUAUACAUAUGAUACUAACAUACAUAUAAUACUAACUCUUAGUGAACCCUCGCAUAAAAGAGAAACCUCUUUGAAAAAAAGAGACCCCCCUUCUCUUGAGGUUCCUACCUCACAGUGAGAGUGUUCCGUGGGAAGUUCAUGUUUAUAUGUUAAGUUAUACUUUAUAUGUUAAGUUAUACAAGCAGACUAGCCGUCUUCGUUUCUCUUUCUUCAGAUGAUGAUCCCAAGCCUUCUGGCAAUCCGCGAUAAGUUCUUUGUAGAACUUUAAGAAAAGCAUUUUCCAUUAAAAGAAUGCUUUCAUGUGAUAAUGCCGGGGAAGGUUUUCCGGUUUAUCCCGGAGGGCUUGUAGCUCAGUUGGUUAGAGCGCGCGCUUGAUAAGCGUGAGGUCGGAGGUUCAAGUCCUCCCAGGCCCACCAAUUAUCCAUCCAUAGAAAAGCGCUUAGAAAGUUUGACUGUUAACAGGUCAACGUUGUUUUGUAGGACGCCAAUAUUGUCUUGAAAAAGAGCUUUCUUGUAAAGUUUGAGAAAACUUGUUUAUCGCUUUUUGUAAGAUGUGGUGUUUGUCUGCUUUUAAAGCGAUCGAAACUGAAAGUGUUUCAAAGAUAAGAGUCUUGGAACAGAAGAGUCUUGGAAUAGAAAAGAAUAUAAAGUCUAGGUGGUAUUACAUAGUCUAGAGUUAAAUUGUUCAUGAUUGGAACAUUUCAUAUUGAAAUGCUGCGAUAUAAAGGUUUCGAAUAAAUUAUUCCGUUUUGGGGCCGUAGCUCAGCUGGGAGAGCACCUGCUUUGCAAGCAGGGGGUCGUCGGUUCGAUCCCGUCCGGCUCCACCAUCUGGUCAUCAUCAUUGUUGUGAGAACAGGUUUUAGUGAAAGGUUGAGUAACCUUUCGCUUGUCUAUGAAAUUGUGAAGAGAAGAUAUAUUCAGACAUGUUCUUUUUGAACUGUUUGUUUUGAAGGCAGAGCUUUUUUCAUGGGAAAUAAUUAUGAGGAAUGCUUGUUAAAAAAUGCUUUCAGAAAAUGAUCUGGAAAGCAGAUCUAAAAAACAAAUGGGUCUUUUGUUUGUUUUGAAAUUGUCGAGGAAGCUGUUUUUAUAAAAUAGUUGUUCAAAAAUGUCAAAAAGCCAUGCAACGAGGAGACUGUGUAAGCCAAAAGCACCAAAAGCAAAAUCAGCAGGAAACAAGUUGUGUCGCAUGAGACGUAGCCAAAAGAGGCAAAAGAGCAAAAACAAAAGAGACAAAAAGACAUUGUGUCGCAAGGGAACGCUCAAAGCCCUUGCUUAUGAUUGGAAGCUUAACCGCGCCAUUGAAUAUAUCUCGAGAAGCUGGUCUUUUCUGCUGAUAUUUAUGUUUAUUUGCACUUUGUUUGUUUUGCACAAGGCAGAUAGAGAAGAUAAACGUUGAAUGAAUAUUGGCAAUGAGAACGA
rnacentral:tRNA from 1 species